GUUGUAGCUAUCAUGCUAGACUUAUCUCAUGGUGUGUCUCAAAUCGCGCACUUCUGUACUUAUACUAACUAUUUGAGUACACUCAAAAUUUAACUCGUCGAAGUGUGGUAAAUGCAGUGCACUACAAGUACCCGGAUGGUGCACUCAUAACGGUGAAAAAGUUGAGUGUGGAUCGAUGGACACUUUCCACACUCAACUGUCGCCAUCUUGGCUACGUAGCGGAAGGGGCGGAGCUAACAAAAGGUGAAAAACUUUCGAUAAUGGCGGCCGAAUACGCGACAGCGAGACCCAAAUGGACACGGACAAUGCUGCCAACUUGAGGGAAGUCCUCCUCUGCUGAAAGGCGAACAACCUGGGGGAGGAGAGUGAGGAUUUCCCUGCUGGUCUUGUGGACAGCACUGUGCACUGUCAGUGUGCAAAGGCUCUGGCUAAACCACGAUCAGAUGUACCGCUGGCGAGCCAAAAGAGGAAGACAAGGGCCUCGAUGACGGGUCCCACGCCGUGCCGAGGAUGUACCGUUAAAGGAUCCUGCUGGAGAGUCUGAAGUCCACCCUCAUAUCACUUUCCCCAUCAAAGUACAGGGCCAGCAAUGAAUAGAACAAUAGGAUCUAUUUAAAUGUCUAUUGUGUUGCCUCUGCUUUCACUCUUGUAUUUUCACUGUAAUUAAUAGCUAUUGCAAUAAACACCCUUUAUAUAAACAUA